CGCGAGAUAGAGCAGCCCGGUAGCUCGUCAGGCUCAUAACCUGAAGGUCAUUGGUUCAAAUCCAAUUCUCGCAACCA
rnacentral:tRNA from 1 species